CCAGCGUCUUCCAAACCCGUCCCGAGGGGCCCGCAGAAGCAGAGACCUCCGCUGCGGCCAGGACUUCAGAGCCUUGGAGAAAGAACCACCGGGGCAAAGCGAGCGCAAUGGGCAGUUCGGAAUCGCAAAGCGCGGAAGGGUUUUUCUAGGCACGCAAUUUCAGCGCUCCUCCACCUUCUGUAAAAGCGAGUAGGGUGCGGCGCAACCUGGCGGACGGGUGAACCCGGCUCCCAGCUCACGAGGCGGGCUCUGGCCGAGCCUGCGGGCUGCAGCCUGGGGCCCCGUGGCCCACACUGAAAAGGAAAGAAACAGUGUAUAAACGCUCCGCAUAUGUGCUGCAGAUACGGGGAAACCCUGGCGAUCGCGCGGCAAGCAGGAGCAGCAGAAGAGAGAGCAGGGCGCCGCUCUAGCUGCCACGCGUUUCACGCUCAGUAAAGGAGGGGGCGGCGCGUCCACGGAGACCCACGCACGCGCGAGGGGGAGACCAAAAGAGCGCCGGCCGCACCUCCGCGGAGUCGCCACGCGGAGGCAGCCCCGGGGGGCCUCGAGCGCCGGGAACCGGCCGGGGAAGCGGGGCGAUAAGCUCAGGGAAGCCAGAAAGAACCGCCCGCUCCUCUCCGGCCGCGGGGAGCAAAAACCGGAAGGCAAAAGCUGAUCUGCACUCAAAAACCAUCGCUGGUUCCACUGGGGCUCGAACCCAGGACCUUCUGCGUGUAAAGCAGACGUGAUAACCGCUACACUAUGGAACCAUGCAAGGAGGAGGUUGGGCUCAGGCUAUUUCAGUAAUACGUCGUGGUGUAUGGGCACGCGCACGCACGCACGUAAGUACGCACAGCGGACGUCACGGGAACGCUAGGCACGGAGCGGGAAGGGCCGCUCGCGCUGGGAAAGCAAAUGUAACCUCCGCCUGAACUCCGGAACUGGUGCACAGCGCCUGCAAAAGGAACCGUGCACGGCACCUUCAAAAGGUAUGGAAACCGCUCUGGUUCCACUGGGGCUCGAACCCAGGACCUUCUGCGUGUAAAGCAGACGUGAUAACCGCUACACUAUGGAACCGCGCUGUUGCCAUUUGCUUCCACACAUAGUAGUGCCACAUGAAGCCCAGCCCUGUGACAUCCUGAUCCCGGACGGAAUUGUUCGACUCAGCUCCGCGUCCCCGGGCUUCGCGUUCAUCAUGCUCGUGGCACGGGGGAGGAUGCGCGUGCGGACUCAGAUGUGGAGGCGCGGAGCGCUGAACAAGCAACUGGCUCUGUGGCGCAAUGGAUAGCGCAUUGGACUUCUAGACAGAUGGAGGCAUUCAAAGGUUGUGGGUUCGAGUCCCACCAGAGUCGCUUUUAUUUUGACAAAAGAAAGGUGAAGGGCACUGAAGACGAAGGGAGAAACCAGUAUCCGAAGCCCCGCCCUUCACCACCCGCGCGCUCUGGGCCCAGGUGACUGCGAGAGUCUCGAGCUGGAUCAGGCUCCCGCGGUGGAACUCAGUCGUUAGGCUUGGGCCCGUCGCGUGUGUGCAUCCGGAGCCACCUCGAUUGUUGGGGAUUUGAAAAUCGGUGUCGCUCGAGUCGCUCGAGCUGCAGUACCUGUCCACCGGUAUCAGAAUGGUCUAGUAGUUAAGGCGUUAGACUUAAAACCUAGUGGAUUAGUAUCCCUGUGGGUUCGAACCUCACUAGAAGCCUCGCGCUCCUUUUGACGCAGGUUGGAAAACGCAGUCUGUGGUUUGGGAAGCAGGAAGGGUCUGUCCGCGAGAUGACAACGCAAGCGAUCCUCCUCACCGAGGUCAUUGCGCGGCCACGCGUGGGCAGCGACGGGGAAGACGUUGGCACGCCCACUUGCCGGAGACAGCUUGGGAGAACCCCUGGCAAGGAGGCCUGGCCCGGCGCCGUGGCGCACGGGGCUUCUGCGCUCCAUUUCCGGGGAAAGGGCAGCGGCACCGAAGGUGCGAAGUGGGCCGUGCUGAACCACGGCAGAGACAGGCUCGGAUCUCACCCCACCCUGCCAGACAACUUGGGGCCUCUGCGAGGUCAGCCAGCGAUCCCCAGGCCUCUGGCCAGGGAAAGCGCAAAACAGCUGCUCUGUUCAUCUUGGAGCUGCCUUCGACAGCCACUUCCAGCCGGUGCUGCUGGGGGACCAGGCUCCGGGCAGGCCCUUCCCAGGGCUCUGGCGUGAAGUUCUGGGUGGACCCUGGCUUGGCCUCCGGUGCUUAGGGAUGCGUAUCUUGGUGAAAACUGUAAGAGGAGAAGCAGCAGAGGGAGGGAAAAAAGGAAGAGGGAGAGAGAAAGAAAUGAAAGCGCUGAACCCAGCACGUUGGUUUUCUAGUAUCAGCUGCUUCCCUCCCCAACCACGAAGCAUUAAAGAGGAAUUCUACGCUUUUAUCGUUUCUCUGCUAAACGCUUAGCAGUCAUAGCAUCUAAAGACGUGUUGAUCUGAGCGGCCAACUGGGAAAUCCCAAAAGCGUGAAAUAGUGUAACAGACCGCGUUUUCCCACUUGUGUUACUGUAAAAGUAAUGCGUGCGCCACUCUUCCGUGUUGGUGAUGGGGCCAAGAUGCAGCAGAGACCGCGCCCUCCCAGACCGCAGACUUCAGAUGAUCAGCCCUCCCUCAUCUCCUGCCUCAACGCCUCCCACCUGGCGGGGCCUCUGGACCAGAGCUCAACCUGCAAUGCCGGGAGGCUGGACCGCAUCCCUCCCCAGGCCUCCCUUCCUCCCGGGACUGUCAUCCUACCGCCGCGGGAGCGAAGAUCUGGAGAAACAGGGAUAAAAAUCACACAAAAGACUCAUUAGGGGCGCCUGGGAAGCGGCCGCGGACAGAACAACGCCCGGAAGACAGAAAAGCUUUCCGUGGCGACUUGAGGGAAAUAUGCAGAUUCCCCGACCAAGGGAGCGGCUUCAUCCAUCGUAGGCUGCUCAGAAUUAAUUCCCUGGCCCAGUCCGCAGGGGCACGGGCCGGGCAGGCGGUUGGGACUUUGGUUUCUGUGACUGGGGAGGAGAAACAAAAGCCUGAAUUCCGACUGGCAGAUUUGCCUCUGAGGGAAUCGGGAAAGACUCCGGAUCCUAACCAAGUUAGAACCUGCCAAUGGCUCUCUCCUACCGCGGUUAGGCAAGGGGCAGACGAGAAGUGCAGAGCCCGGAUAGCUCAGUCGGUAGAGCAUCAGACUUUUAAUCUGAGGGUCCAGGUUUCAAGUCCCUGUUCGGGCGGAAGCUGUUUUAGUUUCUAAAGUGAAUUGUCCAGGGGCGCCCCAGUGUUGGGUAUAAACGAGCUCUCUCCGAACUCACGGCCUGUUUCCUGAAGAGAGUCUUCGGAUCCCUUUUCUUUUCCCCUAAGACUGACAUGCAUUUUUUUUUCAUCUUUUAUAUUCAAAACGUCAAUAAAGCAUAGCGGUGGAAAUGCUA